rnacentral:rRNA from 1 species
UACGUAGGGGGCAAGCGUUGUCCGGAUUCAUUGGGCGUAAAGAGCUCGUAGGCGGCUUGGCAAGUCGGGUGUGAAACCUCCAGGCUCAACCUGGAGACGCCACCCGAUACUGCCAUGGCUAGAGUCCGGUAGGGGACCACGGAAUUCCUGGUGUAGCGGUGAAAUGCGCAGAUAUCAGGAGGAACACCGGUGGCGAAGGCGGUGGGCUGGGCCGGCACUGACGCUGAGGAGCGAAAGCGUGGGGAGCGAACAGG